UAUAAUAUAUGCAUAAACUUAAUAAUUUAUAAUAUCCAAAUUCUCUAGGUACUUGGCAAGCAAUUUUCUCACACUUGACUGUGGCUAUUGGUGCUGAUCUUGAGCUAAACUAAAGGUAAAUGGAACAUCAUGGAUGUGGAAUUUUAGACACAAAGAAGCUGAAGUUAACAUUUAAUUCAAAAUUAAAGAUUGUCCAUGAAAACAAAUAUAAAUUAUAUACUUUGUAAUGCUGUAUUGAUGCAUCUUCUGUUUUAAGUAAUUAAAAAACAUCCA